UACGUAGGGUGCAAGCGUUGUCCGGAAUUAUUGGGCGUAAAGAGCUCGUAGGCGGUCUGUCGCGUCGGCUGUGAAAUCCCGGGGCUCAACCCCGGGCCUGCAGUCGAUACGGGCAGACUAGAGUGCGGUAGGGGAGACUGGAAUUCCUGGUGUAGCGGUGAUAUGCGCAGAUAUCAGGAGGAACACCGGUGGCGAAGGCGGAUCUCUGGGCCAGUAUUGACGCUGAGGAGCGAAAGCGUGGGUAGCAAACAGG
rnacentral:rRNA from 1 species